GUGAACGCUGGCGGUAGGCCUAACACAUGCCAGUCGAACGGCAGCACCGUAAGAGCUUGCUCUUACGGGUGGCGCGUGGCGGACGGGUGAGGAAUACAUCGGAAUCUACUUUUUCGUGGGGGAUAACGUAGGGAAACUUACGCUAAUACCGCAUACGACCUACGGGUGAAAGCAGGGGAUCUUCGGACCUUGCGCGAUUGAAUGGGCCGAUGUCGGAUUAGCUAGUUGGCGGGGUAAAGGCCCACCAAGGCGACGAUCCGUAGCUGGUCUGAGAGGAUGAUCAGCCACACUGGAACUGAGACACGGUCCAGACUCCUACGGGAGGCAGCAGUGGGGAAUAUUGGACAAUGGGCGCAAGCCUGAUCCAGCCAUACCGCGUGGGUGAAGAAGGCCUUCGGGUUGUAAAGCCCUUUUGUUGGGAAAGAAAAGCAGCAGGUUAAUACCCCGCUGUUCUGACGGUACCCAAAGAAUAAGCACCGGCUAACUUCGUG
rnacentral:rRNA from 1 species